rnacentral:rRNA from 1 species
AUUGAACGCUGGCGGCAGGCCUAACACAUGCAAGUCGAGCGAGCGGCGGCCGGGUGAGUAAUGUAUGGGGACUGCCCGUUAGAGGGGGGUAACUACUGUAAACGGUGUCUAAUACCGCAUACUGCAUGAUAACCCAUAUGGGAUUAGCUAGUAGGUAAGGUAAUGGCUUACCUAGGCGACGAUCCCUAGCUGGUCUGAGAGGAUGAUCAGCCACACUGGGACUGAGACACGGCCCAGACUCCUACGGAGGCAGCAGUGGGGAAUAUUGCACAAUGGGCGCAAGCCUGAUGCAGCCAUGCCGCGUGUAUGAAGAAGGCCCUCGGGUUGUAAAGUACUUUCAGUCGGGAGGCGUUACCGACAGAAGAAGCACCGGCUAACUCCGUGCCAGCAGCCGCGGUAAUUC